GAUGAACGCUGGCGGCGUGCCUAACACAUGCAAGUCGAGCGAACAGACGAGGAGCUCGCUCCUCUGCCGUUAGCGGCGGACGGGUGAGUAACACGUGGAUAACCUACCUAUAAGACUGGGAUAACUACGGGAAACCGGAUCUAAUACCGGAUAAUAUAUUGAACCGCAUGGUUCAAUAGAGAAAGACGGCUUUGCUGACACUUAUAGAUGGUUCCGCGUCGGAUUAGCUAGUUGGUAAGGUAACGGCUUACCAAGGCGACGAUGCGUAGCUGACCUGAGAGGAUGAUCAGCCACACUGGAACUGAGACACGGUCCAGACUCCUACGGGAGGCAGCAGUGGGGAAUCUUGCACAAUGGGCGAAAGCCUGACGGAGCAACGCCGCGUGAGUGAAGAAGGUCUUCGGAUCGUAAAACUCUGUUAUUAGGGAAGAACAGAAGUAUGAGAAAAUAUGGACGUCUUGACGGUACCUAAACAGAAAGCCACGGCUAACUUCGUG
rnacentral:rRNA from 1 species